rnacentral:sRNA from 1 species
CCACCUACUAAAGUAGGUGGCUUGUAGUCAUUCGCUACAAGCUGGUUGAUUAGCCUAAGUUUUAAGUAACUACGUUAAGGUUGAAUAGAUAGGUACUUUGGAAUGCCACCCUAGUUCCAAACACUA